AGUGAUCCAUGAAAGACUUCCAGUCUGAGGAUGACUCGAAAUAGGAGAACUCAAUAGCAGAUUGCCUGAGAUUGUACAACCCAUCUCAGAGCCUACGUAUGGUGACUUCCUCGAAGGUCCGAUGGCCAGCCUCCUCAUCUGAAGAGUCCCACAUCGGUAGUAUUCCUAUAAUUAGAAGCAAGCAUGUAUUAAUAAAUAUAAUACAAACAUACCGUGAAUUUAAAAAUUAAAUAUCUUUGAUGUAGCAGGAACAUUUCCCAUGCAACGUCACGAGCCUUCGAUGGCCAACUGAAGAACUCAUUCACCGGCCCC
rnacentral:lncRNA from 1 species